AUUGAACGCUGGCGGCAUGCCUAACACCUGCAAGUCGAACGAGUGGCGGACGGGUGAGUACUGUCUGGGAAACUGCACGUUGGAGGGGGAUAACUACUGGAAACGGUAGCUACUACCGCAUACCAUCGGAUGUGCCCUGAUGGGAUUAGCUAGUCGGUGGGGUAACGGCUCACCUAGGCGACGAUCCCUAGCUGGUCUGAGAGGAUGACCAGCAAAACUGGAACUGAGACACGGUCCAGACUCCUACGGGAGGCAGCAGUGGGGAAUAUUGCACAAUGGGAGCAAGCCUGAUGCAGCCAUGCCGCGGGUAUGAAGAAGGCCUUCGGGUUGUAAAGUACGUUCAGCGAGGAGGCGGUACUCGCAGAAGAAGCACCGGCUAACUCCGUGCCAGCAGCCGCGGUAAUUC
rnacentral:rRNA from 1 species